GACGAACGCUGGCGGCGUGCUUAACACAUGCAAGUCGAACGGUAAGGCCCUGCUUUUGUGGGGUGCUCGAGUGGCGAACGGGUGAGUAACACGUGAGUAACCUGCCCUUGACUUUGGGAUAACUUCAGGAAACUGGGGCUAAUACCGGAUAGGAGCUCCUGCUGCAUGGUGGGGGUUGGAAAGUUUCGGCGGUUGGGGAUGGACUCGCGGCUUAUCAGCUUGUUGGUGGGGUAGUGGCUUACCAAGGCUUUGACGGGUAGCCGGCCUGAGAGGGUGACCGGCGACAUUGGGACUGAGAGACGGCCCAGACUCCUACGGGAGGCAGCAGUGGGGAAUAUUGCACAAUGGGCGGAAGCCUGAUGCAGCAACGCCGCGUGCGGGAUGACGGCCUUCGGGUUGUAAACCGCUUUCGCCUGUGACGAAGCGUGAGUGACGGUAAUGGGUAAAGAAGCACCGGCUAACUACGUG
rnacentral:rRNA from 1 species